rnacentral:rRNA from 1 species
UACGAAGGGGGCUAGCGUUGCUCGGAAUGACUGGGCGUAAAGGGCGCGUAGGUGGAUUGCUUUGUCAGACGUGAAAUUCCAGGGCUCAACCUUGGGGCUGCGUUUGAGACGGGUGAUCUUGAGUGGAGAAGAGGGUCGUGGAAUUCCCAGUGUAGAGGUGAAAUUCGUAGAUAUUGGGAAGAACACCGGUGGCGAAGGCGGCGACCUGGUCUUUUUACUGAGCUGAGGCGCGAAAGCGUGGGGGAGCAAACAGG